UACGUAGGGGGCAAGCGUUGUCCGGAUUUAUUGGGCGUAAAGAGCGUGUAGGCGGCCAAGCAGGUCCGCUGUGAAAACUCGAGGCUCAACCUCGAGACGUCGGUGGAAACCGUUUGGCUAGAGUCCGGAAGAGGAGAGUGGAAUUCCCGGUGUAGCGGUGAAAUGCGCAGAUAUCGGGAAGAACACCCGUGGCGAAGGCGGCGCUCUGGGACGGUACUGACGCUGAGACGCGAAAGCGUGGGGAGCGAACAGG
rnacentral:rRNA from 1 species